rnacentral:rRNA from 1 species
UACGUAGGGUGCAAGCGUUAAUCGGAAUUACUGGGCGUAAAGCGCGCGUAGGCGGCCUUGUAUGUCGAUUGUGAAAGCCCCGGGCUCAACCUGGGAACUGCAGUCGAAACUGCAAGGCUUGAAUGUUGGAGAGGUUGGGGGAAUUCCUAGUGGAGAAGUGAAAUUCGUAGAGAUUAGGUGGAACACCAGAGGCGAAGGCGGCUGACUGGCCAAACAUUGACGCUGAGGCGCGAAAGCGUGGGUAGCAAACAGG